rnacentral:rRNA from 1 species
CGGGAAGUUGGGGCGAGGGGCGAAAAAGGGGGAGCCAUAGGGAAAGGUUAAAGGGGGAAGGGGAAAGGGGGAGGCUAAGGGGGGGGGGCGAGAGGCCGGGGGGGGGGGGGGGAGGGGGGGGCCCAAAGGGACCGGGAAUGUUCCUAUUUUUAAUUCCCUGUCUACUAUGUUCCCCCCCCAGGGGGAGCCGAGGCUUAUACAAAUGGGACAAAUUUAGGUUCUCCUUUUGGAGCGGCGGAGAGAGGAAAACCCGGGCAACCACCCCAUAAAGAGGGUGAAAAUGGGGAACCGGGGUUAUAUCGGUAAUAAUUUUCCCCCGCUUUGUUAAAUAAGAAGGGCGUUUUCUUCCAUUUAAGAAGGCCCCCGCCUUUUUAGGUGUUGGAAAGUCCCGCUUCACAAGGCAAUUUUUCUGACCCCCCUGAGAGGUUAUCGCCACACGGGAAAUGAGACCCGGUCCAGAUUCCUAGGGGAGGCCACAGUAGGAAUCUUCCCCAAUGGGCGAAACCUGACGGAGCAACGCCGCGUGAGUGAUGAAGUCUUCGGAUCGUAAAACUCUGUUUUCAGGAAGAACAAAUGUGUAAGUAACUGUGCACAUCUUGACGGUACCUGAUCAGAAAGCCACGGCUAACUACGUGCCAGCAGCCGCGGUAAUACGUAGGUGGCAAGCGUUAUCCGGAAUUAUUGGGCGUAAAGCGCGCGUAGGCGGUUUUUUAAGUCUGAUGUGAAAGCCCACGGCUCAACCGUGGAGGGUCAUUGGAAACUGGAAAACUUGAGUGCAGAAGAGGAAAGUGGAAUUCCAUGUGUAGCGGUGAAAUGCGCAGAGAUAUGGAGGAACACCAGUGGCGAAGGCGACUUUCUGGUCUGUAACUGACGCUGAUGUGCGAAAGCGUGGGGAUCAAACAGGAUUAGAUACCCUGGUAGUCCACGCCGUAAACGAUGAGUGCUAAGUGUUAGGGGGUUUCCGCCCCUUAGUGCUGCAGCUAACGCAUUAAGCACUCCGCCUGGGGAGUACGACCGCAAGGUUGAAACUCAAAGGAAUUGACGGGGACCCGCACAAGCGGUGGAGCAUGUGGUUUAAUUCGAAGCAACGCGAAGAACCUUACCAAAUCUUGACAUCCUUUGACCGCUCUAGAGAUAGAGUCUUCCCCUUCGGGGGACAAAGUGACAGGUGGUGCAUGGUUGUCGUCAGCUCGUGUCGUGAGAUGUUGGGUUAAGUCCCGCAACGAGCGCAACCCUUAAGCUUAGUUGCCAUCAUUAAGUUGGGCACUCUAAGUUGACUGCCGGUGACAAACCGGAGGAAGGUGGGGAUGACGUCAAAUCAUCAUGCCCCUUAUGAUUUGGGCUACACACGUGCUACAAUGGACAAUACAAAGGGCAGCUAAACCGCGAGGUCAAGCAAAUCCCAUAAAGUUGUUCUCAGUUCGGAUUGUAGUCUGCAACUCGACUACAUGAAGCUGGAAUCGCUAGUAAUCGUAGAUCAGCAUGCUACGGUGAAUACGUUCCCGGGUCUUGUACACACCGCCCGUCACACCACGAGAGUUUGUAACACCCGAAGCCGGUGGAGUAACCAUUUAUGGAGCUAACCGUCGAAGGUGGACAAAUGAUUGGGGGAAGUCGAAUCAAAGUAGCC